UUCUGCCCUAUGAUUAUUUAAAUGGCUGCAGUAUUCUGACUGUGCAAAGGUAGCAUAAUAAUUAGUCUUUUAAUUGAAGGCUUGCAUGAAUGAAUUAAUAAGGGAUUCAUUUUAUUUAUGACAUUAUUUUAAUUUAAUUAAUAAGUAAGAAAGCUUAUUUAUUUUUUUGGGACGAUAAGACCCUAUAGAACUUUAAUUUUAUUUUUAAUAUGAUAAUUUGGAUUUUUAUUUAUUUUAUUUUUUUUAAUAUUUUUGUUGGGGUGACAAAUAAAUUUUAACUUUAUUUAUUAAAUUCAUUAAUUUAUGUUUUUUUGAUCCAUUUGGUUGAUAUGAAGAUUAAGUUACCUUAGGGAUAACAGCGUAAUUUUAAUGGGGAGUUCACAUUUAUAUUAAAGUUUGCGACCUCGAUGUUGAAUUAAGAUAAGAUUGAGGGGUAG
rnacentral:rRNA from 1 species